rnacentral:rRNA from 1 species
GACGAACGCUGGCGGCGUGCUUAACACAUGCAAGUCGAACGAAGAGCGAUGGAAGCUUGCUUCUAUCAAUCUUAGUGGCGAACGGGUGAGUAACGCGUAAUCAACCUGCCCUUCAGAGGGGGACAACAGUUGGACACGACUGCUAAUACCGCAUCCGAUCUAAUCUCGGCAUCGAGGAUAGAUGAAAGGUGGCCCCUACAUGUAAGCAUUCACUGACGGAGGGGUUUGCGUCUGAUUAGCUAGUUGGGGGGGUAACGGCCCACCAAGGCGAUGAUCAGUAGCCGGUCUGAGGAGAUGAACGGCCACAUUGGGACUGGGACACGGCCCAGACUCCUACGGGAGGCAGCAGUGGGGGAUCUUCCGCAAUGGACGAAAGUCUGACGGAGCAACGCCGCGUGAGCGAUGACGGCCUUCGGGUUGUAAAGCUCUGUUAAUCGGGACGAAAGGCCUUCUUGCGAAUAGUUGGAAGGAUUGACGGUACCGGAAUAGAAAGCCACGGCUAACUACGUG